rnacentral:rRNA from 1 species
GACGAACGCUGGCGGCGUGCUUAACACAUGCAAGUCGAACGGAAAGGCCCUGCUUUUGUGGGGUGCUCGAGUGGCGAACGGGUGAGUAACACGUGAGUAACCUGCCCUUGACUUUGGGAUAACUUCAGGAAACUGGGGCUAAUACCGGAUAGGAGCUCCUUCUGCAUGGUGGGGGUUGGAAAGUUUCGGCGGUUGGGGAUGGACUCGCGGCUUAUCAGCUUGUUGGUGGGGUAGUGGCUUACCAAGGAUUUGACGGGUAGCCGGCCUGGGAGGGUGACCGGCAACAUUGGGAUGGAGAUACGGCCCAGAUUCCUCCGGGAGGAAGAAGUGGGGAAUAUUGCAAAAUGGGCGGAAGCCUGAUGAAGCAACGCCGCGUGCGGGAUGACGGCCUUCGGGUUGUAACCCGUUUUAGCCUGUGACGAAGCGUGAGUGACGGUAAUGGGUAAAGAAGCACCGGCUAACUACGUG